rnacentral:rRNA from 1 species
UACGUAGGGGGCAAGCGUUGUCCGGAUUUAUUGGGCGUAAAGAGCGUGUAGGCGGCCAGAUAGGUCCGUUGUGAAAACUCGAGGCUCAACCUCGAGACGCCGAUGGAAACCAUUUGGCUAGAGUCCGGAAGAGGAGAGUGGAAUUCCUGGUGUAGCGGUGAAAUGCGCAGAUAUCGGGAAGAACACCCGUGGCUAAGGCGGCUCUCUAGUACGGUACUGACGCUGAGACGCGAAAGCGUGGGGAGCGAACAGG